CCGAAACAUCAAGAAGGCUUUUUGGCAGUCCCAGUCUGGAGCUGUUAAGGGCUUCUACGACGCAAAAGUCUUGCUACUUGGAGAGUCCAAAGAGGCCCUCAUAACGAACAUGGUCAGCAGGCGUAUGGCUAUACCUGAAAUAUUUGAGCCCACAGAUACGGACACGAGUGACGGUGCUGCGUCAGUUGUGAAGCCAAAAGGUCGUGAAAACGGUCAAGGCAUGAAAAUGGAAGCACG